UACGUAGGGAGCAAGCGUUGUCCGGAAUCAUUGGGCGUAAAGCGCGUGUAGGCGGCUUGGUAAGUCUGCUCUGAAAGCCCGGGGCUCAACCCCGGGAGGCGGGUGGAUACUGCUGAGCUCGAGUCCGGAAGAGGCGAGUGGAAUUCCUGGUGUAGCGGUGAAAUGCGCAGAUAUCAGGAGGAACACCAAUGGCGAAGGCAGCUCGCUGGGACGUGACUGACGCUGAGACGCGAAAGCGUGGGGAGCAAACAGG
rnacentral:rRNA from 1 species